rnacentral:rRNA from 1 species
UACGUAGGGUGCAAGCGUUGUUCGGAUUUACUGGGCGUAAAGGGCGCGUAGGCGGCAAAUUAAGUCAGCUGUGAAAUCUCCGAGCUUAACUCGGAACUGUCAGCUGAUACUGAUCUGCUAGAGUGCGGAAGGGGCAAUCGGAAUUCUUGGUGUAGCGGUGAAAUGCGUAGAUAUUGGGAGGAACACCAGUGGCGAAGGCGGCUACCUGGACCGGUUCUGACGCUGAGGCGCGAAAGCGUGGGUAGCAAACAGG